rnacentral:rRNA from 1 species
AUACGGAGGGUGCAAGCGUUAAUCGGAAUUACUGGGCGUAAAGCGGGCGUAGGUGGUUUGUUAAGUCAGAUGUGAAAGCCCCGGGCUCAACCUGGGAACUGCAUUUGAAACUGGCAUACUAGAGUAUAGGAGAGGAAAGUGGAAUUUCAGGUGUAGCGGUGAAAUGCGUAGAUAUCUGAAGGAACAUCAAUGGCGAAGGCGGCUUUCUGGACUAAUACUGACACUGAGGUACGAAAGCGUGGGUAGCAAACAGGAUUAGAAACCCUAGUAGUCC